CAGGAGUUGCUGAAAAAGGCUGAAGAUGUUAAGUUCUGUUGGAUAGAACACAUCUUGAAAAAUAUUUUGGACAAUAAGACGUUGUAACUUGGCCUCAUCCAUGCUUCAUUGAUCUUUUAGAAAAGUUCUGAAUAAUUACUAAUCUGAAUUUCUCAUCGCCUGAAUCCGGGCAAACCUGUCAGCCUUUCAAACAAACCACAGAAAACAUUACAGGGAGGAGUCUCCAACCACGUGGCACUGAAACAAACCGUACGUCUAUUUAUUGUGUUAUUUAUUUAUCAGUGGCAGAGUUCACUAUAAAUAUUUUUUUAUUGCCUUUUAUAAAAAAAUGUAAUUAUCGGGGGCAGUGUCUUCCAUAAUUAUGACAGUUAUACUGUCGAAAUGACAAAAGCAGCAUCUGCUUAAAGGGAAGUGUACAUGUUGACCGACGGCCGGCAGGACUCAACGCUGAACAGUCAGUCACCUCUCUGAAAGCAGCACAAGGGCUCAAGGUUGUUUUUUGUUAAACUGACACUGGAUCGGUCUUUCGGGGAAAAUGCCGUCUCUCAUAUCCCGCCUCUGGCUGCCGGUGCCGCUCCCUCGGUACAUGUACACCUCUCGUCCCGAAUACGUUAUCGGCAGCAGUGCCUUCCAUAAUGUGAAAUGAAGAAGGUAGUUUUUGCCUACCAGUGUAUGUCCGUAUCGGAGGCAGUGCCCUCCAUAUUUCACUGUAGGAUGGAUGUUUUUUAUUAUCGGGAACAGUGAUUUCCAUAAUGUCUGUACAUAAACAUUAGGGUGCUGCACGUGUGGUCUGCAGCUUUAGAUCCCUUUAAUGAUCUUUCCACGCUUAUGUAGCUCUUUAUGGAGAAGUUUUACAUCAUCGCUUUAUGAAAUGAUUGCAUCAUCUCAUUAGUGAGGUACAGAAGCGGUCUAAGUUAUGGGUUCCUUCAGUCAGACGUUCUCAUAUUAAUCAAGGUGUCAAUUUUCUUUUUCUCUGGACUCCAUGAAAUGUCUGAAGUGUUAACAUGUUUUGGGACAGCGGUGUGGUCCACUGAGUCCAGAAUAGAUCCUCACUUCGCUAAAUGAGUUUUGAUGAGUCAGUCGGUGUGAAAGUGAGUCCUACCUUCUCUUUUGAUGAGUUUGUUCAUUAAGAGAUUUCCUUGUGCCUUGUUUCCUAAAUGUUUCUACAUACAAUACCCAGUUUUUGGGACAUUGUAUUUGACUUUUUCUUUGCUCAAUUGUCUUUUUUUUUUCCUUUUGCGUGAAUCAAGUUACUGGUUUAAAGGCAUGUUAUGGUAUCACAUAUUCACAGGGAUAAUAAAAGUAACUAAUUUUAUGUCGCCAGGAUUUCAAAAUAUCACCCUGAAUGUUACAGUAGUGAACAACGUUCUUUAGCAAAUCUAAGCCAUAAAAUCGUUGCCUUUUGGAAAACACUGCUUCAACAGAAUUUGCAAUCGGUAGUCAUUUAAAAUGCUCUAUAGACCUUUUUUUUUUUUUUUUUUAAUAGUUUGAGGGAACUGAUCAGCUGGGUUAUAAGGAGUCAUGUACAUGGAUGUUACAUUUCUGAUGUGUUUCUUUAUUUCUUAAACUAUUCAAAUGUGCUUCGCUUUACGCUUUCCUGGCUGCAAUAAACAAUCACCUCACAGCCGUUGAGUCAUGGGGUGAUCAUUAGUCCAAGUUCUAAAUCAAGUUUCAGUCACAGGGUCUUAGGUUUGUCAUCCUGAAAUCUAUAAAUUAAAUGUAUCCACACCUUCUGAA